ncrna:Schistosoma mansoni type-P1 twister ribozyme
UGUUUAACUCCGCCUGUAGCUCCUCCAGGAGCUACUGCCGGUCCCAAGCCCGGGUAAAGGAGGAGGGUUGGGCA